UCGUUGACCAGGUGUUGCGUUGGAAGGUGGAUCGAAGUAAAGAAAGCGUUACUGGUUCUUACUCUUACGACGAGUAGCCGAGGUUUAAAAUUCCAAGAAAAAGUUUCUCAGAAAAUCUUCUGAAAGAAGCGUAUUCAAGAUAUCGGAAGAGAAAUGCAGACGGUUUAAUAGUCGAGCGUGACUGCUUGCAAACACGCUGCUCUUCGAUUUUAGGAUAUUUAUUGCUACCUCUUCGAUCGAGAAUGGCUUUCUAACAAGUUGCAAAGAAGCCUGCGCGAUUGCUAUUUCUUGACAACGAUAGAAAUAGGCUAUAGGUUAAUAAUCGAUGUCCCACGAGCAGCCGCGUAGAAUCUCGCGGUACGGCAGGC
rnacentral:misc_RNA from 1 species